CCCUUAGAUGUUCUGGGCAGCACGCGCGCUAGAAUGGUCUUCGCAAACGGAUGCAUUCUCGAAGGAGAAUGCCAAUCUUGGAAUCUAUGCCUUGGUCGGGACAGUUGCUUGCAAUUUUUCGACUCGAACCAGGAAUUCCUUGUAAUCGUGAUUCAUCACAUCACGAUGAAUACGUCCCUGCCCUUUGUACACACCGCCCGUCGCUCCUACCGAUCGAAGAGUUAGGUGAAUUGUUUUGAUCGAUAAGAUUUGACUAUGGUCAACUCUCGUUGUGAAAUUCUGUGAAUCUGACUGUUUAGAGGAAGGAAAAGUCGUAACA
rnacentral:rRNA from 1 species